rnacentral:lncRNA from 1 species
AUGGAUUAUCUGUGUGGUGUUACAGGUGGAAACAGUGUGCAGGUGUUUUACUGCGAGCCUGAAAAAUGUGCUCUCAGUGUAAUUAGCGUGUAUUGCAACGAUGAAGCCCUGCUCAAUAACGGAUCCAUGACAGAGUGCUCUGGUCCUCCUCCACACAGAGCUGUCUGUCAGCAUGAUGGUCGAGCAUUUGUUUCCAUGUCUGGAAAUGCUCAUUGUGAAUUUGAAGGGAAUAGUGGAUACAUCACCACAAAAAAUUGUUCAGACCUCAGCAACCUGUGCUCUUUCACUAGAACAACCAAAUCCUCACCAACCCCAACGGGUUUUGGAAGUCUUGCGGAGGGCCUUACGCAAACUCAUCUCAUCAUCCUCAUUGUAGUAGUUUGUAAGUUCUGA